rnacentral:rRNA from 1 species
UACGUAGGGGGCAAGCGUUGUCCGGAUUUAUUGGGCGUAAAGAGCGUGUAGGCGGCCAUACAGGUCAGCUGUGAAAACUCGAGGCUCAACCUCGAGACGUCGGUUGAAACCGUAUGGCUAGAGUCCGGAAGAGGAGAGUGGAAUUCCCGGUGUAGCGGUGAAAUGCGCAGAUAUCAGGAGGAACACCGAUGGCGAAGGCAGCUCGCUGGAACGUUACUGACGCUGAGACGCGAAAGCGUGGGGAGCAAACAGG